AGUGAACGCUGGCGGUAGGCCUAACACAUGCAAGUCGAACGGCAGCACAGGAGAGCUUGCUCUCUAGGUGGCGAGUGGCGGACGGGUGAGGAAUACAUCGGAAUCUGCCCAGUCGUGGGGGAUAACGUAGGGAAACUUACGCUAAUACCGCAUACGACCUUCGGGUGAAAGAGGGGGAUCGCAAGACCUCUCGCGAUUGGAUGAGCCGAGGUCGGAUUAGCUAGUUAGCGGGGUAAUGGCCCACCAAGGCGACGAUCCGUAGCUGGUCUGAGAGGAUGAUCAGCCACACUGGAACUGAGACACGGUCCAGACUCCUACGGGAGGCAGCAGUGGGGAAUAUUGGACAAUGGGCGCAAGCCUGAUCCAGCCAUACCGCGUGGGUGAAGAAGGCCUUCGGGUUGUAAAGCCCUUUUGUUGGGAAAGAAAUCUUUCAGGCUAAUACCCUGGGAGGAUGACGGUACCCAAAGAAUAAGCACCGGCUAACUUCGUG
rnacentral:rRNA from 1 species